CGGGUCGUACGACGCCCUCACCGCCGACAUCAGCACAAUGAUUCGCCUGACCGUGCACCGACCUGAGCCACAUGCCGAGCCGUACUAUGGCCUCGCCCUGUUACAUCACAGGUAAACCGACCCCCACCUAUAAAAGGGAGCCCUGGCUUCUCAGAAGGGGGUUGGGAAAUUCCGUGCCCUACAAACACUGUUCAUCUCCUCCUUACACUAUUUGCCCCCUCCCUGACUUGAGCGUCGGAGGGCCGGCGCCGGAAAACCCGGCCACCGGUUUGUCUGCAGGCACCCAGACGGAGGACGCCGCCCGCUGACGGAUCGCUGCCCCGCCGUGAGGACCUCCUGCUCCCUCUCUCCGGCCACCCCAAACGGAGGACGCCGUCCGCCGACUGGUCGCCGCCCCGCCGUGGUGACUCGCCGCUCCCUCUCCUCGACCGAAGAUUGCCCCCGGGUCCAAUUUCCAGCAAC
rnacentral:lncRNA from 1 species